rnacentral:misc_RNA from 1 species
UGGUUCUAGCAUNGAUGAAGAACGCAGCGAAAUGCGAUAAGUAAUGUGAAUUGCAGAAUUUAGUGAAUCAUCGAAUCUUUGAACGCACAUUGCGCCCCUUGGUAUUCCGAGGGGCAUGCCUGUUCGAGCGUCAUUAAAACCCUCAAGUUCUACUUGGUAUUGGGAUGUGUCUCUCUAAGACACUCCUAAAACUGGUUGGCAGUAGCUUCUAGCUCCCAGCGUAGUUAACAUAUUCGCUUUGGAGGUCUAGGAACUACAUGCCAUAUAACCUCUAUUUUUCUAUAUUUGACCUCGGAUCAGGUAGGGAUACCCGCUGA